GUUGGUGAACCAGCGGAGGGAUCAUUACAGGGUCUAACGACUGCCCAAACCCAACCGUGAACUACUCCUUCAAACAUAUGCUUCGGCGGGCCGCUCGCUGGGGGAGCCCCGGGCCGCUUCGGCGGUGACCCGCCGCAGGCAUCAAACCAAACCUUUUCCGAGACUGCUCUGAGAAAUACUUUCUAAAUGAAAAUAAUCACAACUCAUAACAAUGGAUCUCUUGGCUCUG
rnacentral:misc_RNA from 1 species